CACAAUAUAAUGAUCUCACAGAAGAUUGUAUAAAAAUAAUCCAAUGGCUACUAAUACUGUAUAGAAUGAACAGGAUGCCAAAGGCCAACUUAUCAGUAUAAUUAUACUAGAGGACUACAAUUGAAACUCCUAGCCAUACAAUGACAUAGUAAAUAUGUGGCAUAUAAAUAUGGAGUGGUAAUGGAAAACAGCAUUCAUAAUUCAAUUGAAAUACUGUAAUUACAAAAAGUAAAUUCAAUAUGCAAUUUAACAUCUUAACAACGUAUGGUGUGGU
rnacentral:lncRNA from 1 species